rfam:Shewanella sediminis HAW-EB3, complete genome.
CACUUUAGCUGAGUUAGUGAUUGGCUAAAGCUUAUUAAUGCAUUAUUUGGAGAGACAAAAUGUCACUAAAUGCUGAACAAACUGCAACAAUCCUGGCUGAAUUCGGUCGUAGUGAA